UACCUGGUUGAUCCUGCCAGUAAUCAUAUGCUUGUCUCAAAGAUUAAGCCAUGCAUGUCUAAGUACAUGCCGAAAUAAGGCGAAACCGCGAAUGGCUCAUUAAAUCAGUUAUGGUUCCUUAGAUCGUUUCUUCCUACUUGGAUAACUGUGGCAAUUCUAGAGCUAAUACAUGCAGUGAGCCUGAAGCCCUUUGGGCGACGGGUGCUUUUAUUAGACCAAGAUCGAUCGGGUUUCGGCCCGUAUUGUGUGGUGACUCUGGAUAACUUUGUGCUGAUCGCAUGGCCACGAGCCGGCGACGUUUCUUUCAAGUGUCUGCCUUAUCAACUUUCGAUGGUAGGUUACUUGCUUACCAUGGUUGUUACGGGUAACGGAGAAUCAGGGUUCGAUUCCGGAGAGGGAGCCUGAGAAACGGCUACCACAUCCAAGGAAGGCAGCAGGCGCGCAAAUUACCCACUCCCGGCACGGGGAGGUAGUGACGAAAAAUAACAAUACGGGACUCUUUUGAGGCCCCGUAAUUGAAAUGAGUACACUCUAAAUCCUUUAACGAGGAUCAAUUGGAGGGCAAGUCUGGUGCCAGCAGCCGCGGUAAUUCCAGCUCCAAUAGCGUAUACUAAAGCUGCUGCGGUUAAAAAGCUCGUAGUUGGAUCUCAGUUCCAGACGAGUAGUGCAUCUACCCGAUGCGACGGCUCGGACUGAACAUCAUGCCGGUCCUUUCUUGGUGCACUUCAUUGUGUGCCUCGAGAAGGCCGGUGCUUUUACUUUGAAAAAAUUAGAGUGCUCAACGCAGGCGAGUCGCCUGAAUAAACUUGCAUGGAAUAAUAGAACAAGACCUCGUUUCUGUUCUGUUGGUUUUUGGAAUACGAGGUAAUGAUUAAGAAGGGACAGACGGGGGCAUUCGUAUUGCGGCGCUAGAGGUGAAAUUCUUGGACCGUCGCAAGACGAACUACUGCGAAAGCAUUUGCCAAGAAUGUUUUCUUUGAUCAAGAACGAAAGUCAGAGGUUCGAAGGCGAUCAGAUACCGCCCUAGUUCUGACCAUAAACGAUGCCAACCAGCGAUCCGCCUGAGUUACUCAAAUGACUCGGCGGGCAGCUUCCGGGAAACCAAAGUAUUUGGGUUCCGGGGGAAGUAUGGUUGCAAAGCUGAAACUUAAAGGAAUUGACGGAAGGGCACCACCAGGAGUGGAGCCUGCGGCUUAAUUUGACUCAACACGGGAAAACUUACCCGGCCCGGACACUGGGAGGAUUGACAGAUUGAGAGCUCUUUCUUGAUUCGGUGGAUGGUGGUGCAUGGCCGUUCUUAGUUGGUGGAGCGAUUUGUCUGGUUAAUUCCGAUAACGAACGAGACUCUAGCCUAUUAAAUAGGUGCGGGGUUCCCAGCACCUUACAACCUUCUUAGAGGGACAAGCGGCUCCUAGCCGCACGAAACAGAGCAAUAACAGGUCUGUGAUGCCCUUAGAUGUCCUGGGCCGCACGCGCGCUACACUGAAGGAAGCAGCGUGUCUUUAUCCCUGUCUGAAAAGACUGGGUAACCCGUGGAACUUCUUUCGUGAUUGGGAUAGGGGCUUGCAAUUGUUCCCCUUGAACGAGGAAUUCCCAGUAAGCGCGAGUCAUAAGCUCGCGUUGAUUACGUCCCUGCCCUUUGUACACACCGCCCGUCGCUACUACCGAUUGAAUGAUUUAGUGAGGUCUUCGGACCGAUGUCCGGCGCGGCCUUUCGGUUGCGCCGGUCUGUUGGAAAGAUGACCAAACUUGAUCAUUUAGAGGAAGUAAAAGUCGUAACAAGGUUUCCGUAGGUGAACCUGCGGAAGGAUCAUUA
rnacentral:rRNA from 1 species